CCAGGCACCCAGACCACUUCUGCCCAUUGGAGUGGUCUGGGUGCCAACUCCCACUACCCUUACUACUAGACAGCCACUAGAGGGCACUUCUUGAUUCAUAGCAAAGAUUUUCUUUGCUAGAGCGUCGCUGGACGUCCUCACGCUGUGUGAGGACCUCCAGCGUCGCUCAAUUCCCCAUAGGAAAACAUUGAAAAUCUUUUUCAAUGCUUUCCUAUGGGAAGACCUUAGGUUUCCUCAGCCGGCGGGCAGGAUCAGUCUCAUCCACCGGCUGACGUGAUUACUGGGAGGAGCGACGCCGACCCGAAACCACCGCCGAGCGACAUUAGCGGGGUCUCAGG